rnacentral:rRNA from 1 species
GUGGGGAAUCUUGCGCAAUGGGCGAAAGCCUGACGCAGCCAUGCCGCGUGAAUGAUGAAGGUCUUAGGAUUGUAAAAUUCUUUCACCGGGGACGAUAAUGACGGUACCCGGAGAAGAAGCCCCGGCUAACUUCGUGCCAGCAGCCGCGGUAAUACGAAGGGGGCUAGCGUUGCUCGGAAUUACUGGGCGUAAAGGGCGCGUAGGCGGACAGUUUAGUCAGAGGUGAAAGCCCAGGGCUCAACCUUGGAAUUGCCUUUGAUACUGGAUGUCUUGAGUACGGGAGAGGUGAGUGGAACUCCGAGUGUAGAGGUGAAAUUCGUAGAUAUUCGGAAGAACACCAGUGGCGAAGGCGACUCACUGGCCCGUUACUGACGCUGAGGCGCGAAAGCGUGGGGAGCAAACAGGAUUAGAAACCCGAGUAGUCC